CCAAUAGGAAGCCAGAGAUUGUCAACAUUUACCUUUGAACUUCCGGUUUAUUUGUAAGAUCAUGAACAAGCAACUGGCAAAGAAAUUGAGCAAAAAUAUAGCUGAGAAUACCCGAGUCUUUGUUUCUAAACUUGAAUGUAUUAAUAAAUCGUUCUGUGUAUGCAAUGUAAGUAUCAUUUAAUAAUGAAUAGCGUAAAGAUGUAAAACGGCAACGCACUUUUUGUGGCUUAUUAAAAGCAAGUAUUGUAUUGUUUGUCACGUUGUUAAAUUCGCUAAACUUCUGUGUGAAUGUGAUAGACUAUCUGGCGUUCCCUCGAAACGUCGAAGUUUUGUCUAUAUAUUUUCAGGUAGGCUAUCACAUUCACACCUCGAUUUACACAGAUGUUUUAUCGAAGAUUCUACCAGCGGUCCAGCACCAAGCGGCAAGCGUUCGAGAUAAAUUCGCUAAUAUUGCAUAAAAACACGAUGUAGUAUAUAUUAUGUCUAUUUCACUUUAUAGAAUGUUUAUCUACAGCUGCACCCAAGACGAAAUACAUUAAUCCAUGUCCGUGUUGUCAGCAAGUAGUUGGAUAGUUUUAUCCACCGGCACAUAAUUUCGUGAACAAAGACGAGACAUACUGAUAGGCCUAUUUUAAAAACGAUACCAAUAUGUUGUCUUUUUAUAAAUUAUAGUUGUACGUUUGCCUUUUUAUGUCAAUUACAGUAAACUUUAUUUCAAUUUAAUAUCGUGUGAUUUCACCACAUGCUUGAAUCAGGCUGUUUUACAUUAUAUGAUUAUACUUUGUCAGUUUAUAUAAUUUUUAAACCGAAAUCUUCACAUGUAUGAUGUAUCCUCCUGACCACACAACUCACAAGUUAAACAUGUGUUAACCAGAUACACAUGACACAGCAUUAGGUAGCCUUAUGGAGAUACCUAAUAGGAUAUGGAAACACAGCUAGUAGCUAUUGCAAAACUAAAAGGUAUAAAUUGUGAUGAAUAGAGAGAAAAUAUAUUAGUUUCUUAUAGGGAAGCCAGAG